rnacentral:lncRNA from 1 species
GCUAUGAAAGUUGAGAAAUAAGCAAUUCAGUGCUUGUUUUAAAGCUGUAGUUGGUCUAAAUUGCACUUGUCAAAGGGAGUGUCAUUGCUCGACUCAUUGCAAUUUCAUUUCUUCCUAACAUAAUUAGAAAUAGAUAGAUUUUUUGGUUAUUCAUGAACAUCUCACUUGUCUGGCCAAGUUUAGCAUAGAAUGAAUUCUGAAAUCGUCCUUUACAACUUAAGACAAGUAUUGUCUGGUUUCAUGCAUUAGCGUUUUGCCUUGCUGACUGAUAAUUGCACUCAAGAAUCCUCUUUACUCGACCUAAAACUGUUGGCAUCCUUGGUGGAUGUUCUGAUUGGUUUGUUGUUUGAUUCUCUGCUUUAUCUUAACAUGAUUAAACCAUGAUAUGGUAAGAUCAAUAUGUGACUAAAGUUAUGAAUUUUGUCAAUUUGUUUAGAAAUUGCUUUAUCUUGACAUGAUUAAACCGUGAUAAAGUAAGAUCAAUAUAUGACUAAAGUUACGGAUUCUGUCAAUUUGUUUAGAAAUAGAUAAUGGGAGUUAAGGCCAGUAGGAUCAGAUUGUUACAAGUUGAAGCAUCAAUGAGUUUACAGG